GAAAGAGAACCUGAAACCGUGUGCUUACAAGAAGUUCGAGCCCGUUAAUGGGUGAGAGCGUGCCUUUUGUAGAAUGAACCGGCGAGUUACGUUUACGUGCGAGGUUAAGUUGAAGAGACGGAGCCGUAGGGAAACCGAGUCUGAAAAGGGCGGUUAAGUACGUAGAUGUAGACCCGAAACCAAGUGACCUACCCAUGAGCAGGUUGAAGGUGCGGUAAAACGCACUGGAGGACCGAACCAGGACACGUUGAAAAGUGUUUGGAUGACUUGUGGGUAGCGGAGAAAUUCCAAACGAACUUGGAGAUAGCUGGUUCUCUCCGAAAUAGCUUUAGGGCUAGCGUCGGUCGCGAGACUCUUGGAGGUAGAGCACUGUUUGAUUGAGGGGUCCAUCCCGGAUUACCAAUCUCAGAUAAACUCCGAAUGCCAACGAGUUAAGACCGGCAGUCAGACUGCGAGUGCUAAGAUCCGUAGUCGAAAGGGAAACAGCCCAGACCACCAGCUAAGGUCCCCAAAUAAUUGUUAAGUGGAAAAGGAUGUGGGGUUGCACAGACAACUAGGAUGUUAGCUUAGAAGCAGCUAUUCAUUCAAAGAGUGCGUAAUAGCUCACUAGUCGAGUGACCCUGCGCCGAAAAUGUACCGGGGCUGAAACAAUUUACCGAAGCUGUGGAUCCCUUAGGGGAUGGUAGGAGAGCGUUCUAUGUGCGCAGAAGGUGUACCGCAAGGAGCGCUGGAGUGCAUAGAAGUGAGAAUGCCGGUAUGAGUAGCGUAAGACAGGUGAGAAUCCUGUCCACCGUAAGACUAAGGAUUCCAGGGGAAGGCUCGUCCGCCCUGGGUUAGUCGGGACCUAAGGAGAGACCGAUAGGUGUAUCCGAUGGGCAACAGGUUGAUAUUCCUGUACUAGAGUAUUGAGUGAAGGAGGGACGCAGCAGGCUAACUAGAGCGUGCGAUUGGAAGAGCACGUCCAAGCAGUGAGGUGAGGACUGAGUCAAAUGCUUAGUUCUGCGCCACCAAGCUGUGACGGGGAGCGAAGUUUAGUAGCGAAGCUAGUGAUGUCACUCUGCCAAGAAAAGCUUCUAGCGUUAAUGAAUACUCUACCCGUACCGCAAACCGACACAGGUAGUCGAGGCGAGUAGCCUCAGGUGAGCGAGCGAACUCUCGUUAAGGAACUCGGCAAAAUGGCCCCGUAACUUCGGGAGAAGGGGCGCUGGCGAUAAGUCAGCCGCAGUGAAAAGGCCCAAGCAACUGUUUAUCAAAAACACAGCUCUCUGCGAAAUCGUAAGAUGAAGUAUAGGGGGUGACGCCUGCCCGGUGCUGGAAGGUUAAGAGGAGCGCUUAGACGUUUGUCGAAGGUGUGAAUUGAAGCCCCAGUAAACGGCGGCCGUAACUAUAACGGUCCUAAGGUAGCGAAAUUCCUUGUCGGGUAAGUUCCGACCCGCACGAAAGGCGUAAUGAUUUGGGCACUGUCUCAACGAGAGACUCGGUGAAAUUUUAGUACCUGUGAAGAUGCAGGUUACCCGCGACAGGACGGAAAGACCCCAUGGAGCUUUACUGCAGUUUGAUAUUGCGUAUCUGUUACACAUGUACAGGAUAGGUAGGAGCCAAGGAAGAGUGAACGCUAGUUUACUUGGAGGCGUUGUUGGGAUACUACCCUUGUGUGAUGGCUACUCUAACCCGGUAGGUUGAUCAUCUACGGAGACAGUGUCUGACGGGCAGUUUGACUGGGGCGGUCGCCUCCUAAAGCGUAACGGAGGCGCCCAAAGGUUCCCUCAGACUGGUUGGAAAUCAGUCGUAGAGUGUAAAGGUAUAAGGGAGCUUGACUGCGAGACAGACAAGUCGAGCAGGGACGAAAGUCGGGCUUAGUGAUCCGGUGGUACCGUAUGGAAGGGCCAUCGCUCAACGGAUAAAAGCUACCCUGGGGAUAACAGGCUUAUCUCCCCCAAGAGUUCACAUCGACGGGGAGGUUUGGCACCUCGAUGUCGGCUCGUCGCAUCCUGGGGCUGUAGUCGGUCCCAAGGGUUGGGCUGUUCGCCCAUUAAAGCGGCACGCGAGCUGGGUUCAGAACGUCGUGAGACAGUUCGGUCCCUAUCCGUCGCGGGCGAAGGAAAUUUGAGAGGAUCUGCUCCUAGUACGAGAGGACCAGAGUGGACUUACCGCUGGUGUACCAGUUGUUCUGCCAAGAGCAUCGCUGGGUAGCUAAGUAGGGAGGGGAUAAACGCUGAAAGCAUCUAAGUGUGAAGCCCCCCUCAAGAUGAGAUUUCCCAUAACGUUCAGUUAGU
rnacentral:rRNA from 1 species